UGAAAUUUUUCAACGUUACGUUUAUGGGGGUUUGUGCGUGUUGCGUCGUGUUAGAUCGAUUUAUUUUCAGUGAGUCCAGGCCUUUGUUAUCUACGAGUGGCAUUAUCAUUGGAAUUAUCAUUCAGAAGUAAUUUAUUUGGGUGAUGAAGUGGGAUUAUCGAACAAUACAUGUCCACUAGUGAAACAUGACAGAACAAAAACCGUUGGAACGAAUUCCCCUUUGCUGAUUCAUAUUAAGAGAACAGACUCUGAGAAAAUUGUGUGGGACGAUGUACUGUCUGUCUCUGUGUACUAAAUAGAAAAAAAGGAGCAGGAGGCAGAGGAAGCAGAAAAAAAGUCUGCCAAAUAUGGAGACAUUGGAGACAACUGGUUUCCCCUGGGGUCUUGAAGCCGAUCCCCAUGUGGAUGCAUCAAAGUGCAUUAAUCAAUCAAUCAGAACUAAUGUUUAUUGCUUAAUUACCUUCACUCGAAUAAAUAAACAACAUUUCUAAUGAGGUUCAACUAGAAGUACACAACUUCAUCUAGCAAUAAGGAUUUUGUAUUCCAAAAAAAUAAAAAUAAAAAUUAAAUAUAUGGAUUUAAGACAGAAA